AGGAUGAACGCUGGCGGUAUGCUUAACACAUGCAAGUCGAACGGGAUCAGAAAUGGUUCAGUGGCGGACGGGUGAGUAACGCGUGAGAAUCUGGCUUCAGGUUCGGGACAACCACUGGAAACGGUGGCUAAUACCGGAUAUGCCGAGAGGUGAAAGAUAUAUUGCCUGAAGAUGAGCUCGCGUCUGAUUAGCUAGUUGGUAGGGUAAUGGCCUACCAAGGCGGCGAUCGGUAAC
rnacentral:rRNA from 1 species